GAAGGUAGAGCUCAGUGGUACAGUGAGUGCUUGGCACGCACGAGGUCCUGGGUUCAAUCCUCAGUACUUCCA
rfam:Camelus ferus unplaced genomic scaffold scaffold976, whole genome shotgun sequence.